rnacentral:lncRNA from 1 species
GGUGACACCCGAAGUGGUCACGGUGACAACACAACCCAGGGAGGUGGUGACACCCAAGGUGGUCGCGGUGACACCCGAAGUCGCGGUGGCACCCGAAGUCGCGGUGACAACGCAACCCAGGGAAGUGGUGACGGUGACACCCAAGGUGGUGACGGUGACAUCCGAGGUGGUCGCGGUGACACCCGAAGUCGCGGUGACAACGCAACCCAGGGAGGUGGUGACGGUGACACCCAAGGUGGUGACGGUGACACCCGAGGUGGUCGCGGUGACGCUCAACGCGUCAUCGCUCCCCCCUCACGCGUCACCGCGACCGCCACAACCGGAGGAGGUGUUCUUGGGGACAACGCGACCCGGGGUUGUAGCGUUGCCCGGGACGACGGUGACGCCGCCGGUGACAACGUGCCCGCCCGAGGGGGGACGGGUGACACCCGCAGGCACCUCCUGCCCGCGGUUGUUGCCGUCACCCGCUCCGCGGCCCUACAACGUCACCGCACACUGACAACCGGACAGUCACCCUGUUGUCCGGGUGACACGGUACGACUGUCGCCUCCGCUUCGAGGUGACACCUGGAGAUGGUCACCGUUGCGCGGGUGUCGCGUGGCACGGUGACACCCACGGAUUCGGGGACGCUUUGGAGGACCGUCACCGCGGUAACGGCGCCGCGGUGGCACCGAGCACCCAUGGGUGCCCCUACCUCACCCUCAGGGACCCCCCCCUCAUUCUCAGGGGGGGAGUCACGCCGGUAUUUAUAGGUUUCUAUUUAUUGAAGAUUAUUUAACGGUCGGGUAUUUAAUAUUUAACACUAUUUAUUUUUGGGGGGGGCCGUUUCGCCCCGAUUUUGGGUAAUUUAUUACAGGAACGGUUGUUUACAACGUGCGUUGUCGCUGUGUCGUCAUUGGAGCAUCACAUGCAUGGGGGGGAUGGGCAAAACUUGAGGAUUUUGGGUUUUCCGACCCAAUUUGCGACGCUUCGUAGCGGGAGGCUGAAAGAAAACGCCACUUUUGGGUGGAGAAAUCCCGUUUUUGGGUUGGAAAAAGGGUUUUUGGUUGGGAAGACCACUUGGAGGAGGAACAUGGUGUUUAUGAGUCAGAAAAAGGCCACUCUGAGGUGGGAAAACGCUACUUUUGGGUGGAAAACAUGGAUUUUUAGUUAAAAAACGAGUGGUUUUAGGUGGGAAAAGUCAAUU